AGCUGCACACUGCCUUUGAAACACAUGUUCAACAAGAAGCCACAGAAACCUUUAUCACAUUAAAGUCUCAUUGUUUCUGUACAGAUUUUCAUGUAUUCACAUGUGUUUGGCUCCCAGAGUGUCGAUUCCUCCUUCUGUCUCAUCUUCCUCUGUUCUCUGUUACCUGGUCUUUCAGAGUACUGUUAGGGUGAUAUUCUGCCAAGUGUGAAGUUGAUGAGCUUCACAGUUACAACAGGUUAACAUGUCUGAAUAACAUGAUGAAAGUACAAGCAUGAACAUUUUAAACAUGUUUUUAUAUUUAUUUAUAUUUCAACAACAUGUUUUAAUCCAGCAGUUUAAGGUCGGGCUCAGACUAAAGUCUGUGCUAAGACGACACCAUUGCAAAAUGUUCAUUUUGUUUUUCAGAGGUGGGCUUUCUGCAUCAUUACCCUGUUGCAUAAUCUGAGUGAGCUAAAGGGCAUGAACUGAUAGCUUCAUAUUCUCCUUCAGGAUCAUCAGACAGGGAGCAGAAUUCAUGUUCAUCAAGUGAGACAAAUUGUCCAGAAGCAGCAAAGCAGCCCAGACCAUCACACUACAACCGCCAUGUUUGACUGUUGUGCACAGAUUAUUUUCCCAGAAGACUUGGGGAUCAUUGAGAUCAUUUUGGCAAAUGUGAGAUGAGCCUUCGUGAUCCUUUUGGUCAGCAGCAGUUCUCGUCUUGGGAUUCUCCCGGUGUUUGAGGAUGGAAGCAGGGUUCCUACAACUUCAGCAAAGUUGGAUUUAAGACUUUUUUUGUCACUCAAUAUUUAA